AGAGUUUGAUCAUGGCUCAGAUUGAACGCUGGCGGAAUGCUUUACACAUGCAAGUCGAACGGCAGCACGGGGCAACCUGGUGGCGAGUGGCGAACGGGUGAGUAAUACAUCGGAACGUGCCCAAUCGUGGGGGAUAACGUAGCGAAAGUUACGCUAAUACCGCAUACGAUCUACGGAUGAAAGCGGGGGAUCGCAAGACCUCGCGCGAAUGGAGCGGCCGAUGUCAGGUUAGGUAGUUGGUGGGGUAAAGGCUCACCAAGCCAACGAUCUGUAGCUGGUCUGAGAGGACGACCAGCCACACUGGAACUGAGACACGGUCCAGACUCCUACGGGAGGCAGCAGUGGGGAAUUUUGGACAAUGGGCGCAAGCCUGAUCCAGCCAUUCCGCGUGCAGGAUGAAGGCCUUCGGGUUGUAAACUGCUUUUGUACGGAACGAAACGGUCUGCCCUAAUACGGUGGGCUAAUGACGGUACCGUAAGAAUAAGCACCGGCUAACUACGUG
rnacentral:rRNA from 1 species